CAGGGUCCGGGCACGACGGGG
rnacentral:siRNA from 1 species